CACAGCUUACAGCUUAGAAGCACAAGACAAGCAACCAAAUCUUCUUCAGGGUCCUCUGCAAUGGCGUCGUCCACCAUGGCACUCUCCUCCCCGGGUCUUGCCGCGGCCAAGAUCGCCUCCUCCAACGUGUUUGGCGAGGGCCGCAUCACAAUGCGCAAGACGGCGGCCAAGGCCAAGCCCGCCGCUUCCAGCAGCCCGUGGUACGGCCCGGACCGUGCCCUCUAUCUCGGCCCACUCUCCGGUGAUGCGCCGUCCUACCUCACCGGCGAGUUCCCCGGGGACUACGGCUGGGACACUGCCGGGCUCUCGGCUGACCCCGAGACGUUCUCGAAGAACAGGGAGCUCGAGGUGAUCCACUGCCGGUGGGCCAUGCUCGGUGCUCUCGGCUGCGUCUUCCCGGAGCUCCUCGCUCGCAACGGCGUCAAGUUCGGUGAGGCCGUGUGGUUCAAAGCUGGUUCUCAGAUCUUCAGUGAAGGUGGCCUGGACUACCUUGGCAACCCCAGCCUUGUCCACGCGCAGAGCAUCCUUGCCAUUUGGGCCUGCCAGGUCGUGCUCAUGGGCGCUGUCGAGGGGUACCGCGUUGCCGGUGGCCCGCUCGGUGAGAUCGUCGACCCCCUCUACCCCGGCGGUAGCUUCGACCCCCUCGGUCUGGCCGAUGACCCUGAGGCGUUUGCGGAGCUCAAGGUGAAGGAGAUCAAGAAUGGCCGGCUCGCCAUGUUCUCCAUGUUUGGCUUCUUCGUCCAGGCCAUCGUCACCGGCAAGGGGCCCCUUGAGAACCUUGCCGACCACCUCGCCGAUCCCGUCAACAACAACGCCUGGGCAUUCGCCACCAACUUCGUCCCCGGCAAGUGA
rnacentral:rRNA from 1 species